rnacentral:tRNA from 1 species
GGCACGGUGGUGCAGUGGGUAGCACUGUUGCCUCUCAGCAAGAGGGCCCAUGGUUUGAAUCCAGUCUGGGCCU